rnacentral:rRNA from 2 species
UGCAAGUCGAGCGGACAGAUGGGAGCUUGCUCCCUGAUGUUAGCGGCGGACGGGUGAGUAACACGUGGGUAACCUGCCUGUAAGACUGGGAUAACUCCGGGAAACCGGGGCUAAUACCGGAUGGUUGUUUGAACCGCAUGGUUCAAACAUAAAAGGUGGCUUCGGCUACCACUUGCAGAUGGACCCGCGGCGCAUUAGCUAGUUGGUGAGGUAAUGGCUCACCAAGGCAACGAUGCGUAGCCGACCUGAGAGGGUGAUCGGCCACACUGGGACUGAGACACGGCCCAGACUCCUACGGGAGGCAGCAGUAGGGAAUCUUCCGCAAUGGACGAAAGUCUGACGGAGCAACGCCGCGUGAGUGAUGAAGGUUUUCGGAUCGUAAAGCUCUGUUGUUAGGGAAGAACAAGUGCCGUUCGAAUAGGGCGGUACCUUGACGGUACCUAACCAGAAAGCCACGGCUAACUACGUGCCAGCAGCCGCGGUAAUACGUAGGUGGCAAGCGUUGUCCGGAAUUAUUGGGCGUAAAGGGCUCGCAGGCGGUUUCUUAAGUCUGAUGUGAAAGCCCCCGGCUCAACCGGGGAGGGUCAUUGGAAACUGGGGAACUUGAGUGCAGAAGAGGAGAGUGGAAUUCCACGUGUAGCGGUGAAAUGCGUAGAGAUGUGGAGGAACACCAGUGGCGAAGGCGACUCUCUGGUCUGUAACUGACGCUGAGGAGCGAAAGCGUGGGGAGCGAACAGGAAUUAGA